rnacentral:rRNA from 1 species
GAGUUUGAUCAUGGCUCAGAUUGAACGCUGGCGGAAUGCUUUACACAUGCAAGUCGAACGGCAGCACGGGGGCAACCCUGGUGGCGAGUGGCGAACGGGUGAGUAAUACAUUGGAACGUGCCUAGUUGUGGGGGAUAACGUAGCGAAAGCUACGCUAAUACCGCAUACGAACUGAGGUUGAAAGCGGGGGACCUUCGGGCCUCGCGCGAUUGGAGCGGCCGAUGGCAGAUUAGGUAGUUGGUGGGGUAAAGGCCUACCAAGCCGACGAUCUGUAGCUGGUCUGAGAGGACGACCAGCCACACUGGGACUGAGACACGGCCCAGACUCCUACGGGAGGCAGCAGUGGGGAAUUUUGGACAAUGGGCGCAAGCCUGAUCCAGCCAUUCCGCGUGCAGGAUGACGGUCCUAUGGAUUGUAAACUGCUUUUGUACAGGAAGAAACACUCCCUCGUGAGGGAGCUUGACGGUACUGUAAGAAUAAGGAAUCGGCUAACUCCGUGCCAGCAGCCGCGGUAAC